UUCCACGCCAAAUUGGCUUACUCUAUUGGAUAAUGUACAAAAUUCAGUAGUGGAAGCAAUAGAAGCUUACCUGCCAACAACGCGAAAAUGAGGAAGGAGAAGGAAGAUCGUAUAUAUACGUAAACACACGGCGACUUGGGUGUGAGUGAGAGAGACCCUUGAGCUGAGAAGAAAUUGAGACUUUUUCUUUUUUACAGAGAGAGAGAGAGAGA
rnacentral:misc_RNA from 1 species